AUUGAACGCUGGCGGCAGGCCUAACACAUGCAAGUCGAACGAGUGGCGGACGGGUGAGUAAUGUCUGGGAAACUGCCUGAUGGAGGGGGAUAACUACUGGAAACGGUAGCUAAUACCGCAUACCAUCAGAUGUGCCCAGAUGGGAUUAGCUAGUUGGUGGGGUAACGGCUCACCAAGGCGACGAUCACUAGCUGGUCUGAGAGGAUGACCGGCCACACUGGAACUGAGACACGGGCCAGACUCCUACGGGAGGCAGCAGUGGGGAAUAUUGCACAAGGGGCGCAAGGCUGAUGGAGCCAUGCCGCGUGUAUGAAGAAGGCCUUCGGGGUGUAAAGUACUUUUAGCGGGGAGGCGUUACCCGGAGAAGAAGCACCGGCUAACUCAGUGCCAAGCAGCCCGGGAAAAC
rnacentral:rRNA from 1 species